rnacentral:misc_RNA from 1 species
UUUCCGUAGGUGAACCUGCGGAAGGAUCAUUAACGAGUCGGGGUCAUUCUGGCCCGCCCUCCAACCCUUUGUUUAAUUACUAUGUUGCUUUUACGGGCCCGUUUCACGAAAGCCGGAAGUCCUCGGACUUCUCGCCCGUGCCCGCCAAUAGCCUUCUACAAACUAUUGAUAAAUUGUGUUGUAUGGGUUAUAAAUUUAAUAGUUAAAACUUUCAACAACGGACCACUUGGUUCUUGCAUCGAUGAAGAAUGCAGCAGAUAGGAAAAGGAAACAUCAGAA